CGGUAAAUAAAUUCAGUGGCGGCUAAUUCCCUUGACAUUUACACAUCUACUGCGUGACUGUAAUCUCAGGGAGGACGUCAGUGUGCAGGCUAGUGCGUCAUAAAGGGAAGCAUCACCUCACGGCGAGUGCACAGCCGAGGAGCUGAGGCAUACGGAACACAGCACUGCCAUCUAUCUCAUGCUGUUCUAAACAAAUCCCUGUCUCUAAUCCUGAAAUGCAGCCAUUUAGAUUUCCUUUCAAAAAGCGACAACAAUGGAAUGCUACACUAAAGCGGCUCAAGAUGUAUCUUCACUGACUUCCAGAAGACCAUCAUUUGACUCAGCAUAUCUUGAAGGUUUGUUUUGCUUUUCAUGGUGGUGAGAAGUCCAAAAGCACAGGCAGCCACAGCAUAAUGUCAACUGAGGCAAAGUUGAUCAGGACAUAUCAGCUUGUCUCUUCAUGGAAAAUUUCACGUAGGUGAGCCCCAUCACAGCGUGACAUCUGUAUGCUAAUCCAACUCCAUGGGUGGAGCGCAGAAGAGGAAUGAGCAGUCAAGCAUUUAUGAAGCUUAAAGUUAAAGAUAAUUACAGUGUGUCACGUUGAUCAUUGAUGCGUCUGAACAGAUCGCUGGACGGCCUGCUGUUAUGAUUGAGAUGAUGCCACAUAGAACAUUGUGUGUUUACUGACUAGCAUUUCAGAAAACGGAAUGCUCAAUAACAGAACUAAAAAGGAUACAAGAGUAAUAUUUUGUUGCUCAAAUGUUGUUUUUUAAUAGCUUUUAUGUUUUCAUUUGUUUAAAUUAUGUUUUAAACAGAUAGUUUACCCAAAAAUGAAAUUUCUGUCAUCAUUUGAGGAGAAAUGCUCCCUAACAAAAAUUGAGAGUUCAUGUCAAAUUUUCCGCAAACUUGCCGCAACUUCGCCACUGAUUAUUUUCACAUCCAAGUGAACUUUGUGGCAAAUUGUCCAUUGUUGCCAAAGUAUUGCUGCAGGUUCACCACUACCGGUGAAGAUCUAACUAAUGGCAAACUUCUGGCAAACAUUUAUGGCAAAUAACAAGCUCAUUUGCAUGUGAAAAUAAUGAGUGGCAAAUAAGCGUCAAAUUUGUGCCGGUUUAUAUUGUUGAGAUCUCUUGUGAAACUUCUGAUUACUAGGGUCUAUUUCUCAGAAGAAAAAUCUGAGAAACAAGAGACUUUGCAAAAGUCUCCAUUUGCUUGCUGUUUAAACUCGUUGCUGUCUAGGAGAAACAAUUAAGAUAUUAGAAAGAUCUCAGUUGUUUUUUUACUUUCCUAUGGGAUCUGCCAUUGGAGACUUAAACCGCAAACUUGCCACAAAUUUGCCACUGAUAAUUUUCACAUGCAAAUGAGCUUUGCGGAAGCGGCAGUUUUUCCAUUGUUGCCAAAGGUUUGAUGCAGGUUCACCACUACCGGUGAAGAGCUGCAAAAUUCUGGCAAACAUUUGUGGCGAAUCAAAUGCUCAUCUGCACUGAAAAUAAUGAGUGGCAAAUUUGUGGCAAGUUUGUGGCUAGAUUGCCAUGAACUCUAGAUUUUUUUGUAAGGUUAUAGCUGCUGAACUUUCUGUUAUGCUAAUCUCAAUGUAAAAAUGUUUGCAUUAGCAUUCAUUGCGUGACCCACUCAGUGGCUAUUUUUAAUCUCAAAGACCAGAUAUUCUAAUAUAGACAGACAAUAACAAGAAGUUGGAGGAGGACAAAAGUCACUAGUUGAGCUCAAGAACUGAUGAGUACACAGUCCUCACUUCACUUCCUUAGCAUGUGACGCUAUAGACAGGCGCCAUAUCAGUAAAAGUGCUGAGGGCAAUGCUGAGAGAUGGAUCUGGACAAUGGAGCCUAGAAAUGCAGGUAGCAGCCGCAGCCCUACCCCCAUGAAGUGGUUUAGCAAUCCCUAACACUAACACAACCUUACACACACUCAAACAUUCUCAAACACUUUGGUCCUGAAAAUCAGCCAAGCCAUGAAGCUAACACAGAGUGGAUGUCUAUUAUGAAGGUACUGAACUGCCAGAAUUCACAUUUAAAUCUGCAUGCAGGAAGAAAAAAAAAAAACACACACACACACAGCAUGACUACCCCUGAGCCCAGGCAAGCCUUACAUAAACUUCCCUGUGUCUUGCUUCCGCAAUGUCCCCCUGGCAGCUGUGUCAACACACGCAAGGGUCCUGACCUUAAACAAACCCUCAAGAAAGUCAUUAUACACUGUCCCACUAAUUUACCCACGUAACAUUUGGAUAUGUAACAACGGUGUGAAAUCGUAAAUACACAAUAAAAAUAAGGGCUCGGAAGCUUUUUUGCUUGCUAUGUUUAAGGAAGCUGUGUGUUUUUUAAGAGGUUGUUUUUUUGGUUUGUAAUAAUGUUGAAGAAUAUUGUGAUAAAAACAAUACCUUUUGUGGUUGAUGGCAGUUAACACAAUGUGUUUUUAAAGGAAAGUUCACCUAAAUAUGAAAAUUCUGUCAUAAUUUACUCACUCUCACUGUCGUUCGAAACCUGUAUGACCCAAAUUUUAUCUAAAUUAAAAGUGAUUUUUUUGGUGAAAUAAGAUGACGUCCCUUCAGUGGCAUAACUUGGACCCAGUGCAAAAAACCUGUUGUGCCCACUCCUUGGGGAGCUUGAGUCGUUUAUCGUCACUCGUCGGGCCCGCAGUAAUUUUUAUGGUUCCUUUUGGUCAACUGUUGUGGGCCCCCUCUCACCCUGGGCCCUAGCGCGGCUGCCAACCCUGCCCUCCCUGUAGUUACGCCCCUGCACCCCUUCCUGAGUGCUACACAACUCAAGUUCUUGCUUGAACACAUGUGCCACUGUAAACAAACUUCUCUCAAAGUGCUCAUGAAUGUGCAAUGUAUGUCAGAUUUUCACUGAAAAAUUACUUCAAUUUUAGGAUUAGAGUCAGUAUGCCUUUAGAAGACUUGCAAUAUGACACACAAGCCACAUGGACUCAUUUUAUGAUGAUUUCGGGUCCUUUUUUAAACUUUAAAGUCCCUAUCAACUAUUGUAUGGAAUAUUAGGACUGGAAUUUUAAAUGUAAUAUCAUAAAAAUGUUUCUUUUUGUGUUCCGGAGAAGAAAGAAAGUCAUAUGGGUGAGGAACGACAUGGGGGCAAGUAAAUUAUAACAUUUUUGGGUGAACUAUCCCCUAAAGUCAAACAGGAUAUUAUGAAACCUUAAAAGGUUUUACAUAAUCUGGUUGCCAGUAUUUCUGAGAACAAAAAGCAACAGUUAGUACUCACAAUCAGUCAGUUUUGCUUGUCAAUGAAAGUUUUAUGUUUUGUUUGAAACCUCUUUUUUUUUUUUAGACCAACUAAAUUAAAUUCAUGCCAGUUAUACUGUAUAUUAUUGCUAACAUAAAUUAGCAAGCAAGAAAGCACUGAGAAUUUAUAGGUGGAUAUUAUUCUAACUGCUUGAUGUUAUUUAUUCUUCGUUUCUGCAUUUCUACGUCUCUGGUUUCCACUUUUAUCUGUUUUUCCAGAGGGCCCCUUGUUUGGUGUCAUAACAAACCGCCCAGUCCCUUCACAUGAUUCUGUUCUUUUGACUUUGUUGAUAUACAGCGUCUGAAGGUGACUGACUGAGUGUGUUGCUUUGCUUCAUUUUUGUUUUUCUUCCUUCUCAUUUACACUGUGUCAUAAUGCAUCACAGAGGAAGUUGCAGCUUUGCUGUUUCAAAGUGCUCAGAUUAGAUGCAGAUUGGAUUCAAAGCCAUCGCGAGGUCUAAUGGGUGGCUGGGGUGAGAUGGCAUGGCGAAUGUUGCUUCUGAAGGUUCAUGUACCCUGAGAUGUACACAAAUUACUUCCCAGUGCCUUUGCCCAUCAGAUUUUUUUGCAUCAAUUCAAAAGUGUUUACUGAUCCUGUGGCUCUACUUGAUAGUGCAUUGCACAAGCAACUUUCAAGACAUAGGGACAUGGAAACCAGGAAGUUUCAUAUGGUGCAUUAGCAUCCUGGGCGACCCAGCUCGAGGUCCUUUCCCAAUCCUGAUCCCCCUCUUCUCCUUAGUCAUUUCCUGUCUCUCUCCACUAACCUGUCUAAUAAAGGUGAAAAUUGUCCAAAAAUAUAACUUAAAAAAUAAAAUAAUGGUGAACGUGA